rnacentral:rRNA from 1 species
UACGUAGGCGGAAAAUUAAGUCAGUGGUGAAAUCCUGCAGCUUAACUGUAGAACUGUCAUUGAUACUGGUUUUCUUGAAUACAGUUGAGGUAGGCGGAAUGUGUAAUGUAGCGGUGAAAUGCUUAGAUAUUACACAGAACACCGAUUGCGAAGGCAGCUUACUAAACCGUUAUUGACGCUGAGGUACGAAAGCGUGGGGAUCAAACAGGAUUAGAUACCCUGGUAGUCC